GAUGAACGCUGGCGGCGUGCCUAAUACAUGCAAGUCGAGCGAAUGGAUUAAGAGCUUGCUCUUAUGAAGUUAGCGGCGGACGGGUGAGUAACACGUGGGUAACCUGCCCAUAAGACUGGGAUAACUCCGGGAAACCGGGGCUAAUACCGGAUAACAUUUUGAACCGCAUGGUUCGAAAUUGAAAGGCGGCUUCGGCUGUCACUUAUGGAUGGACCCGCGUCGCAUUAGCUAGUUGGUGAGGUAACGGCUCACCAAGGCAACGAUGCGUAGCCGACCUGAGAGGGUGAUCGGCAAGACUGGGAAUGGGACACGGCGCAGACUCCUACGGGAGGCAGCAGUAGGGAAUCUUCCGCAAUGGACGAAAGUCUGACGGAGCAACGCCGCGUGAGUGAUGAAGGCUUUCGGGUCGUAAAACUCUGUUGUUAGGGAAGAACAAGUGCUAGUUGAAUAAGCUGGCACCUUGACGGUACCUAACCAGAAAGCCACGGCUAACUACGUGCCAGCCGCCGCGGUAA
rnacentral:rRNA from 1 species